UACGUAGGGCGCAAGCGUUGUCCGGAAUUAUUGGGCGUAAAGAGCUCGUAGGCGGCCUGUUGCGUCCGCUGUGAAAUCCCGGGGCUCAACCCCGGGCGUGCAGUGGAUACGGGCUGGCUGGAGGCAGGCAGGGGAGAACGGAAUUCCUGGUGUAGCGGUGAAAUGCGUAGAGAUCGGGAGGAACACCAGUGGCGAAGGCGGCUACCUGGACCAGCACUGACACUGAGGCACGAAAGCGUGGGGAGCAAACAGG
rnacentral:rRNA from 1 species